rnacentral:rRNA from 1 species
AUACGUAGGGGGCGAGCGUUGUCCGGAAUGAUUGGGCGUAAAGGGCGCGUAGGCGGCUUUGCAAGUCAGUAGUGGAAGUCCAUUUUUCAAGGAUGGAAGUGCUACAGAAACUGCGGAGCUUGAGUGCAGGAGAGGUUAUCGGAAUUCCCGGUGUAGCGGUGAAAUGCGUAGAGAUCGGGAGGAACACCAGUGGCGAAGGCGGGUAACUGGACUGCAACUGACGCUGAGGCGCGUAAGUGUGGGGAGCAAACAGGAUUAGAUACCCUGGUAGUCCACACUGUAGACGAUGAAUGCUAGGUGUAGGAGGUAUCGACCCCUUCUGUGCCGCAGUAAACACAGUAAGCAUUCCGCCUGGGGAGUACGGUCGCAAGAUUAAAACUCAAAGGAAUUGACGGGG